GUAGGGUCCGAGCGUUGUCCGGAAUUAUUGGGCGUAAAGGGCUCGUAGGCGGUCUGUCGCGUCGGGAGUGAAAACCAGGUGCUUAACACCUGGCCUGCUUUCGAUACGGGCAGACUAGAGGUACUCAGGGGAGAAUGGAAUUCCUGGUGUAGCGGUGAAAUGCGCAGAUAUCAGGAGGAACACCGGUGGCGAAGGCGGUUCUCUGGGAGUAUCCUGACGCUGAGGAGCGAAAGUGUGGGGAGCGAACAGGAUUAGAUACCCUGGUAGUCCACACCGUAAACGUUGGGCGCUAGGUGUGGGAUCCAUUCCACGGGUUCCGUGCCGCAGCUAACGCAUUAAGCGCCCCGCCUGGGGAGUACGGCCGCAAGGCUAAA
rnacentral:rRNA from 1 species